rnacentral:lncRNA from 1 species
AUGUGGGUUCGAUCCCCAGCCCAGCACAGUGGGUUAAGGAUCCAGCGUUGCCACAGCUGUGGCUUAGAUCGCAGCUCGGGCUCGGAUUUGAUCCCUGGCCCCAGGAGCUCCGUAUGCCGUGGGCUGGGGGUGGGGUGGGGGGGGCGGCUGAAAAAGGAAAAAAGAAACCAACCGACAGAGGAGCAGUUCUCCAGGGAGAAUGUCUCUUGUUGGCGACACGUCGGGAGUCCCAUCGCUUCAGGCAGGGCCCUUCGGGGGGUAACGAAAGGGCAGCUCAGGCCACGGGGGUGUCGGCAGAGAGACGGUGGGCAAGGGGGGGUGCCAACAGAAAGGCAGUGGCAGGCCCAGGCGGGCUUUCUCUGCAGGGUAAAGCUAGGGAAGGAUCAGAGGGAACCCAGGGCUCCCCUCUCUGAUUCUGUCCCCCGAAAGCCCAGCAUGAGGGGAGCAGGCACGGAGCCACCUCUUAAGAACCACAGUGUGUCGGCCAGAGGGCUACACAGACCUGAAGCCGUCAGGCCCGGGGCAGGCAGGGAGAUAUGCGUGUCAUCCACGAGCGGUAAUUAUGUCCCGGCAGUGACUCCUGGCCCAGCAGACGCCGGCAGCCGGCAGCCGGAAGGAUGCUGUUCGCAAAAGCCCUUUUCCCUUGUACACGCUUUUGCCUGGUCCCUGGUGGGCAGGCACCAGUGGGGAGAAGAAAGCCUUGGCAGCUGCCCCCGGGCACCUGAGCGGGACAGCGGCUGGAGCGGGAUCGGAGCGGGCAGGCCACAGUCGGGCUGCUGCUGUGUCCACAGAAGGCACCCCGUGCCAGCCUGGGGCCAUGGAGCUGCACCGCCCCCGCGUCCCCCCUCCCCCACUGCCACCACCAGGAGACCUUCCUCAGGGCUUUUCAGCAGCCACUUGCCAGCCCUGUGCUUGCUGGCUCUGCACGAAGCAGAACGGUUGACAACCAGAGCGUCUGAGAUUAUGAAUAGACUGCCUCCAGAAGUGGCCCGCCUGCGUCCCCAGGGCGUGCGGGGACAGGCGACAGGCGGAGGGCCCCCUUUCAGGGAGGACUGCACCUGGCAGUCCAAGAGCAGUCUCUGA